rnacentral:lncRNA from 1 species
UAUAGAAUGUGAUACAACACAAAAAUCUUGUUUACUAAAUAAACUUGAGUGAACUGCAAUAUACAAGAGUUUUGUUAGACAAAUCUCUAAAAGAAGAAAAAGGAGUGAAGGGAAUAAAUCAAAAUCAAAUGGCUAAUCUACAUAUUUGACAAAGUUUGGAACUAUUUUUCUAAUGUGAUUAAAACUUGAUAUGGUUAAUAACUUAGGUAGCAGCUCCUCAACGUCAAGACAAUUGAAGCAUUUUAUUGCAAUGGGGCCGUAAAAUUGUUAGCAAUGAUUCCUCCUCAUCGAGUAUUCUUGGAUGUUCUUUCCAAAAGCUCGUCUCAAUUAUGUUACAGUGUUCAACAACUACUCUGUCAUUUCCUGUUGGUUCAUCCUGGGUUCAGAAGCAAAAAGUAAAAGUGAAUACCCACUCCAUCAGUUUGAUCUGUAAUAGAAGUCAAAAACAAUGGCACUUGUGUUGCAAAUGAACUUAUGUACCAAGUGUAGCUUCUGAAUACGAAGAAUACAGAUGAGACCAGGAACAAUUUAGAUGAAAACAUGUUCAUUAUGGAGUUAAUUAUCACAUUAAUGACAAGAACCAGAAAACACUUGUUAAGGUACUAUACUUGUGUUGUUUAUAUUCACGACAGAACUUUUUUGAGCACACAGUUUAUUAUCCAUAAGGUGGUAGAAACCUAAAACUAAAGGAUACAGGCUUGAUAUACAAUAUCAUCAAAAACAACAUAAAGUACUUCAAGCAAGCAUAGCAUCUUCAGUAGAGAGAGAGAGAGAGAGAUUUACUCUGUCCCGGAAAACAGAGGACCCCAUCC